CUCUACGGCCCUACCAUCCUGAAGGCGCCGAAUUUUAUCUGCUCUCGCAAGCUAAGCAGGGUCGGGCCUGGUUAGUACUUAGAUGGGAGAAGAGCACAUUUCUUGCUACCGUUGCAU
ensembl:rRNA 5S_rRNA 5S ribosomal RNA